rnacentral:rRNA from 1 species
UGCCUACGGGACGCAGCAGUAGGGAAUCUUCCACAAUGGACGAAAGUCUGAUGGAGCAACGCCGCGUGAGUGAAGAAGGGUUUCGGCUCGUAAAGCUCUGUUGGUAGUGAAGAAAGAUAGAGGUAGUAACUGGCCUUUAUUUGACGGUAAUUACUUAGAAAGUCACGGCUAACUACGUGCCAGCAGCCGCGGUAAUACGUAGGUGGCAAGCGUUGUCCGGAUUUAUUGGGCGUAAAGCGAGUGCAGGCGGCUCAAUAAGUCUGAUGUGAAAGCCCUCGGCUCAACCGGAGAAAU